AUUGAACGCUGGCGGAAUGCUUUACACAUGCAAGUCGAACGGUAGAGGGGGCAACCCCUCGAGAGUGGCGAACGGGUGAGUAAUAUAUCGGAACGUGCCCAGUCGUGGGGGAUAACGUAGCGAAAGUUACGCUAAUACCGCAUACGAUCUAAGGAUGAAAGCGGGGGAUCGCAAGACCUCGCGCGAUUGGAUCGGCCGAUAUCAGAUGAGGUAGUUGGUGGGGUAAAGGCUCACCAAGCCAACGAUCUGUAGCUGGUCUGAGAGGACGACCAGCCACACUGGAACUGAGACACGGUCCAGACUCCUACGGGAGGCAGCAGUGGGGAAUUUUGGACAAUGGACGCAAGUCUGAUCCAGCCAUUCCGCGUGCAGGAUGAAGGCCCUCGGGUUGUAAACUGCUUUUGUACGGAACGAAAAGGUCUCUCUUAAUACGGGGGGCUCAUGACGGUACCGUAAGAAUAAGCACCGGCUAACUACGUGCCAGCCGCCGCGGUAA
rnacentral:rRNA from 1 species